CUUUUCUUUUUAAUUCUAAACUAAAUUUCUUAUUUUUUGCAUUUUAGUCAUCAUCUUCUUUCUUUACCUCCAAUCAUUUUUUGCCCUUGCGUCAUUGGCUUUCUUCUUUUGCCUCCAACCGCUGGUCUAGACCUCGUUUCUAUGCAGCCCCUUCCCCGUUGUUGCCCAGUCUCACCUCGUCGUUGGCCUCCUCUUCUUCCGCAGGUCGAAGAUGAGGCAGCAGUAGUCCCUUCAUCAAGCCCUCUAGGGGGACCAUUACUGUUGAGGUUAUUGUGCUAUCUUCUAGGAGCAUCGGGUGCAUGAGAACAUAGAGAGGCAAGCAGGAUCACAGUGGCAUCCCUAUGGUCCCAUUGUUCAUGAUUUGCAAUUUUUAGGUUUGUUGUCAAUUAGAUGUAUUGUUGUUGAAAAUGGUAAUUCAAAAUGGAUGGAUUGACAUCCUAACAUAAUAACUACUUACAUUAUACAAUACAUGUGGUAUUAUGGAAUUGCAUUAGCUGUUUAUAUUGUAUAAUUAACAUUAAAGGGAAAUUAUAAUUGCAAUGUCAUUACAUCAAGAAUUCAUCAAAAACUGUUUUAAUCUCAUA